rnacentral:rRNA from 1 species
AGUGAACGCUGGCGGUAGGCCUAACACAUGCAAGUCGAACGGCAGCACAGAGGAGCUUGCUCCUUGGGUGGCGAGUGGCGGACGGGUGAGGAAUACAUCGGAAUCUACUCUGUCGUGGGGGAUAACGUAGGGAAACUUACGCUAAUACAGCAUACGACCUACGGGUGAAAGCAGGGGACCUUCGGGCCUUGCGCGAUUGAAUGAGCCGAUGUCGGAUUAGCUAGUUGGCGGGGUAAAGGCCCACCAAGGCGACGAUCCGUAGCUGGUCUGAGAGGAUGAUCAGCCACACUGGAACUGAGACACGGUCCAGACUCCUACGGGAGGCAGCAGUGGGGAAUAUUGGACAAUGGGCGCAAGCCUGAUCCAGCCAUACCGCGUGGGUGAAGAAGGCCUUCGGGUUGUAAAGCCCUUUUGUUGGGAAAGAAAUCCAGCUGGCUAAUACCCGGUUGGGAUGACGGUACCCAAAGAAUAGCACCGGCUAACUUCGUGCCAGCAGCCGCCGUAA